GCGGAUGUGGUGGAAUUGGUAGACACGCUAUCUUGAGGGGGUAGUGUCGUAAGACGUGUGGGUUCGAGUCCCACCAUCCGCACCA
rnacentral:tRNA from 1 species